GAGUUUGAUCCUGGCUCAGGAUGAACGCUAGCUACAGGCUUAACACAUGCAAGUCGAGGGGCAGCAUGACCUAGCAAUAGGUUGAUGGCGACCGGCGCACGGGUGAGUAACACGUAUCCAACCUACCGGUUAUUCCGGGAUAGCCUUUCGAAAGAAAGAUUAAUACCGGAUAGUAUAACGAGAAGGCAUCUUCUUGUUAUUAAAGAAUUUCGAUAACCGAUGGGGAUGCGUUCCAUUAGUUUGUUGGCGGGGUAACGGCCCACCUGGUCUUCGAUGGAUAGGGGUUCUGAGAGGAAGGUCCCCCACAUUAGAACUGAGACACGGUCCAAACUCCUACGGGAGGCAGCAGUGAGGAAUAUUGGUCAAUGGGCGAGCGCCUGAACCAGCCAAGUAGCGUGAAGGAUGACUGUCCUAUGGGUUGUAAACUUCUUUUAUAAAGGAAUAAAGUCGGGUAUGGAUACCCGUUUGCAUGUACUUUAUGAAUAAGGAUCGGCUAACUCCGUGCCAGCCGCCGCGGUAAUAC
rnacentral:rRNA from 1 species